CAAGGAAUACGAAUCUUACUCAAUUGGGGAAGAACAACAAAAGACUUCGACCAAAGAGUGCAUGAGAUAUAUCAUCUAUUACCGUCAGAACGUAGAGAAUAUACUCGAAAGGAAGGAACACCAGGGAUACCGGUUACUGGGUAUAUAAUAGGUGACCAACCAAAGGGAGAAACAAUCAUUAUCAAUCAAGGGAUAAAUGAGAGAUGACUCACAAGGGAUAAAUUGCAAGCAUACGACAAUUAUCCAAACAAAAAAUGGGGGAAAUAUCG
rnacentral:lncRNA from 1 species